AAGUGAAUAGCUAAGUUGUAAGUUUUUUAUUUACACUAAUUUGAUAUCUAAAAAAAGAUUUCACUUA
rnacentral:tRNA from 1 species